GACGAACGCUGGCGGCGUGCUUAACACAUGCAAGUCGAACGGAAAGGCCCUGCUUUGGUGGGGUGCUCGAGUGGCGAACGGGUGAGUAACACGUGAGUAACCUGCCCUUGACUUGGGGAUAACUUCAGGAAACUGGGGCUAAUACCGGAUAGGAGCUCCUGCUGCAUGGUGGGGGUUGGAAAGUUUCGGCGGUUGGGGAUGGACUCGCGGCUUAUCAGCUUGUUGGUGGGGUAGUGGCUUACCAAGGCUUUGACGGGUAGCCGGCCUGAGAGGGUGACCGGCCACAUUGGGACUGAGAUACGGCCCAGACUCCUACGGGAGGCAGCAGUGGGGAAUAUUGCACAAUGGGCGGAAGCCUGAUGCAGCAACGCCGCGUGCGGGAUGACGGCCUUCGGGUUGUAAACCGCUUUCGCCUGUGACGAAGCGUGAGUGACGGUAAUGGGUAAAGAAGCACCGGCUAACUACGUG
rnacentral:rRNA from 1 species